rnacentral:lncRNA from 1 species
UUUUGCAGUAGUCUCUUGCCUCGCCUUCUUCGUCGUCACGGAAUCAGACCUUGAGCCGCCACAUUUUCUUUCCGGUGGCUUCAGCUGCCACGGCCAUCGCCGCGCAUAUAGGAUCCUAAAUUUUCUCUCUUUUUUGAAACUGUCGACGCCGUUACCGCCCUUAAAAUGCCACAUCUCCUUCUCCGAAAACCUGCCGCAAGGCCACCGCGUCGUGGCUGACCGCCUUUGCAAAAACCAACAUAGGCUCGCCGCCGGAUAAUUACACAUCGGCGCUGAACAAGUCCUUAUGUUCUUCAAUGCUUAGCGUUGUGAGUAUACAUAUUUUUUGAAACGUUAAUUUCUGGUAAAUUUAGGUUUUAUGUUUUGUGGAUCUGAUGAAUUUCUUUAGAAACUUAUGAGUAUGAGAUUGGGAAUUGGGGUUGAAUACUCUGAUGCAUUUUUCAUAUAUCUGAAGAUGGGUAGAUUUGAUUUGUGUAGAAAGAGGUGAGUAUUAAGAAUAUGACUCCUAAUCUUAAUGUCAUUGUUUGAUGAUAUUUUGUUUUAUUUAAACUUUGAGUUGUCAAUUAUUGUGAACAGAUGUGCUCCAUAUUUAGUUCUCAAUGACUCCACAUUUUUUGUUUUCAAUUCACAUUUAAUCCCAUUAUUGAAAUCUUUUAUUUGAGAUUGUUAUAUUUUUAUUACAUUAUUAUUGUACAUUUAACGUACUUUUUAAUUUUUAAUAUGUAAGGUAUCGGGUUCUUGAGUUCUUGAUGCAUACAAGCUCUGAAUAAUGAGUCAUCAACAAAAGGAUUUGUGAAAUUAGAGAUCUCUAGUGAAGUCAUUGAAACUUCUUUGGUAAUGAUAAUUUUUUUUAAUUUAUAUUUUUCAAGGUAUGAUUCAUGUUAGUAUUUUAAUAUUUUUUUUAUCAAUUUUAUGAAAUUAGAUGAAUAAUCUAGCUAGAUGAAAACAACACAAACAAUCAUCUGGGUGAUGCAAGAUUUAAAAAAAAAAUUCUGGGUGAUGCCUUUUGUAGAGGCUAAAAUCUACAAUUGAGGAUGACAUCUGCACGUCCGUAUAGAUUGGGCACUAGCAACCUAUCAACGCAAGAAUACGUAAGAGCCCUAGGUUGAGCACCGGGAGGGGGUGUCAACCGUAGAGCCUCCGACGUUCAAGUCAGUAACGGAAUAGCAAAAUAGAAUGACAAAUGAAUUGAAAUAAGAAAGAAAGACAGGUUGGAAUGUUUAGUUAUUCCAAGGUGUCAGUAGCGUGGGAGGGUGGGAACGGUGACGGCGAAUUGUGAUAAUGGAAGGUGGGAGGCAGAGAUAGGCCAAGUUGGCUAUCUCCGAUUUUGAAGAGCGAUCAGCGUGGUGGCAGAAUAGAGAGAAUUCAAGAAGUAGAUAGCAAGUAGGAUUUUCUGUGUCACCCUUUAUACCCUAGUCUGGAUGUUUAUAUAGAGGACAUCCAGCCGCUAAGGUUUCUACAGUCUGGCCUCGUCAUUGCCCUUAUCUCCCAGGUUGUUGCGAUUUGGACGGGAUCAUAAAGAUUUUUCCUCUAACUGUAGUUUGGUGGGAGAUAUCUUUUAGGGUCUGACGGCUGGGAGACGUCUUCUAAGGUUUGACGGCUAGGUCUUGUAAUUCGUCAAUCUAGGUUGACAAUACUCCUUGGGCCGCAUGCGGUAUAUGCAGCUUGGUUAUGGAUUCAAGUCGAUCCAUAGCUUUCCGGGCUAGAUGGGUCAAUCUGUUUGAUUAAUUGGGCCUUUUAGGGUCAUGCUAGAUUGGGGAGUUAGCUGCGCGGGCUAGCUUGAUGGGCCAGGCUGAGUGUGAAUUAUUCAGCCUGGCUCAGACAAGCUGGUCUUGAAGUGAAGUAUUCACCCUGAGUUAGUUCGGAUAUGUCUUAAUAAAUAUAAUUUGACUUAUCGGGUUGGGCGAACAAGUUUUCUUGAGUAAUUGGAUUAUCAUCGUUAUCGACCCAAGUUGGUCUGAAGCUUCUCGAACUGGAUGGACCGGAUUGCUUGACUCAUUGAAUCAUCUUGGAUUGUUAAUUGGUCUCGAGCCAGGUUGACGGAUUUUGCCCACUAUAGUUAGCCCCCCACUCUACAAUUAGAAUUUUUUAAUUGGAGAGUUAAUUUGUUAUAGCUAUUCCGUAUAUGUUUUCAAUGAUAUCAAUGUGCCAAUCCGCCAUAUCAUCCUAACAAUAGGAAUCAUCUGAACUUCUCAUAUGCGAAUCCGAACAAUGCCUUGCAGCCUCCAUUUCGUUUGUCUGUCUCUAGUGGAUGAAUGAUCAAUAAGCCCAGGAAGUCGUAUAUUGAAGAAAUGCUUAAACAAUUGAUGGUGCAAAUGACCAGUAAAAUGACAAGCUUGGAGAAUAUUGUGCCUGCUCUGGAUAAACAAUUGAAGAUGUUUGAAACUCAAGUGGGUUAGAUGGCGAAUCAAGCAGCUCCUAGCCAACAUGGAAAUCAACCCGAAGAGCCAAUGCAAUGCAAUUUUUGUGAGCAAUGAGACUUCAUCUAAAAAUCACUCGUCUACGACUGUCGUUGCAAUCACUAUGAUUUCAAUUAGGAGGAGGUAGGCAAGGAGCACACUUCUCUGUGGGAUGAACCAUACAAUUUUUCCCCAAGGGUUUACAUCCCUAAAGCUCAUUUUCCUUGAUGAUUUGCUAAGGUGAAGGCAGUUGCAAAGCAAAGUCCUACCAUGGUAACGUCCAAGAAUGUGAACGUCGAUAUGCCCCCACUUGAUGCAUUGCAAGACACACCCUAUGGUGAAAGUGCUAAAGGAAGUUGUCUCUCCUAAGAAGA